rnacentral:rRNA from 1 species
ACUAGUGAUUUCCGUAGGUGAACCUGCGGAAGGAUCAUUCGCACAUGUUCCAAUAACACUCUUGUGAAUUCUUCUGUGAGGUGUGUGUGGGGAUGCUUCUUGCUCCCCAUGCAUGUUCUCGCGGGUGGUGGGGCGGACGGGAUGAAUAACAACAUACCCGUUCGUUCCCACUGCCACUGCAUACCGCAAGUCAGCUUGAUGCAGCCUUCUGUCAAUGGCAAUUGCCAUGUGCAGCUCACAACUUUCAGCGAUGGAUGUCUCGGUUCGAACAACGAUGAAGGGCGCAGCGAAGUGCGAUAAGCAUUGUGAAUUGCAGAAUUCCGUGAACCGACAGGGACUUGAACGCAUAUUGUGCUUUUGGGAUAUCCCUAAAAGCAUGCCUGCUUCAGUGUCUAUUUUGUGUUGUUUCAGUGGCUGUCGCUUUUCAUCAAGCAUGCUGCUGUGAGUGUUUGUGCCUCAAGAUGUGCUGGUCCUUUCUGGUAGUACUCCUGAGGCAUGCGAUUGACAAGGCUCCGUUGUGACGGUCAGCUUACUAAGGCAUCUUUGUGUGCAGCUAGUUGUGCUCGUCGCAUCGUGGGGCUUGCCGUCAAUUUUGGUAAUACCAAGCUUUAAGACAUGAAGUUAGGUUGGCAAACCCGCUGAAUUUAAGCAUAUCA